AAUGAAACCAGAUAUGACUUAGUGGCGGACGGGUGAGUAACACGUGAGCAACCUGCCUUUCAGAGGGGGACAACAGUUGGAAACGACUGCUAAUACCGCAUAACGUACACGGAUCGCAUGAUCUGUGUACCAAAGAUUUAUCGCUGAAAGAUGGCCUCGCGUCUGAUUAGAUAGUUGGUGAGGUAACGGCCCACCAAGGCGACGAUCAGUAGCCGGACUGAGAGGUUGACCGGCCACAUUGGGACUGAGAUACGGCCCAAACUCC
rnacentral:rRNA from 1 species